rnacentral:lncRNA from 1 species
AUAUUACAAAAGAACAUACGUUUUUCCUCUCGUACACAUCUGAUUCAAGCACCACAAAAAAGAAUUUCAAUUCAUGGGAUAAACAAAAAAAGAGAUUGUCUUGAUCUUGAAAACACAAAAAAUACAACAAAGGAUUGCAGGUCUUCAUCCUUUGUCUUCAGAUCAAGUAAUCACCAUGAAUUGGAAAGAUGUGUUAGGAGUUAUAGAUCUUGUAGCAUACACCUGCAAUAAUAAUAUAAUCAAACGAUGGCAAAUAACAAGACAUACAACAACCAAUACGUAUAAAGAGAAGCAACAUGUUAGAUACAAAAAUGACCAGAGAUCUAAGAUGACUUACUAACCUUACUAAUUAGAUUGUGAGUCAUGGAAGAGAGGAACAUGCUGAUAUAUAUCCGGUUCAAACUCCAUGUCCACAACAUAUUCUUCAUCAUCUUCAGACUCAAAGUCAUCAUCAUAUAGAUCUCUUACCCUUGGAGCUUGGGUUACAAGCAGCAAAUUAAGAUCACUAUCCAUCUCUUCUACACGGCCUACAAGCCAUUCUUCCACUGUAUCUUCAUUACCAUCAUCGAAUAUCACAUCAGCAUUUUGCUCUCUGAUUUUUUUCUGCUUCUUAAACAUCUUUGCGUUGAAUUGCACAUAGACUAAGCUAUUUAAGCGAUUGACAUCCAGCCUGUUUCUUUUUUUUGUGUGAAUCUGUAAUAAAAGAGUAAUGAAUUUCAGCAAUAAUAUCACAUUUUUAGAGAAAAAAAACUAAUAAACUAACCCCUUCAAAGCAGCUCCAGUUUCUUUCACAUCCGGAAGAGCUUGACGUCAAAGCAAGGAUCCUUGUAGCCAUCUUUUGAAGAGUUGGUGUACCACAUCCGUAUGUGGACCACCAAUUCCCUACGAUCAAUUCAGUCACAUAUGAUGAAUAAAUAUCUGAAGUUAAUGAAAACAAAUAAUAUGAACAUACAAACCUGGAUCAAAUUUGUCAUUCUUAAUCUCACAUCCUUUCAGUGCUAAAGGUCUGCCAAAUGAGCCACUUUUGUUCUUGUAAAAAUUGAUCUCGUGAUUCACAACUUUAUCUUGUUUCUCAAAGUCGCCAUGAUAGAAAGUCUCAGCACAAGCUAUGAAUCCAUCCAUGAUCUUAAAAUCACUUAGAAUUUCUGGAUCUUUGUAGAAAUAAUAAGGAUUGAGGAAGUAGGCAGCAACAUGCAAAGGACAAUCUAACCUAUCUUUCAUUUUCUCAUCAAUGAUCCGAAAGAUAGGUAGGUAGUUUUUCUCCACAUGAUUUGAAGUUUCCUUGAUAGACUUCUUAGCUUCGACAAUCUCACCAUAAAUGAAUCCAAGAGAAGGUACUUUCUCUCCAUCAGCCAGCCUUAGAACCUUCACUAAAGGACUGAAGAUCCUCAACACAACCGUCACACUACUCCAAAAGCCAUGACUCAUAAUUGUAUCAAACGUACUUUUACCCUUCACACACUUUGAGUGCUUACAGUCAUGCCAUUCAUCGCUGCCGAACAUGCUCAUCAGUUGUGCCUUCUUCUCGUAUAGGCUUUGCAAAGUCAAAAAGCAAGUUGCAAAUCUUGUUGCUCCUGGUCUCACGAUAUCUCCUUUCUUUGUAUAUGUUCUCAUCAUGGACAGUGUUGUAUGAUGAGCAUAUACAAAGAUAGUAACAGCCUUUGCUUGAUCAAUUAUCUUUGCAAUACCAGGAAGUUUGGAAAUGGCCUCAAGCAUCAAAUCUAAAGUGUGAGCAGCACAACCUGUCCAGAUAUCCUUGGUCUCUUCUGUUUCAGCAUCUUCGCAGCUGCCACGUUGUUUGUAGCAUUAUCAGUGACCACUUGCACUAUUUUUUCAGCUCCAAUAUCUUCAAUCCACUGGUCAAUGUAUUUGAAGAUGUACUCACCCGUGUGAGAAUCCUUAGAAGUGUCUUUUGAUGAAAGAAAACAUGUACCUCCCCUUGAGUUGACACACAGAUUCAUUAUGCUUCUUCUCUUCAUAUCAGUCCAUGCAUCUGUCAUCACUGAGCAGCCUUCUCUAUCCCAUUCUUCUUCUAGACUCUUCAACUUUUCCUUGGUCCUUUGUUGUUCCUCAUUUAACAAUGGCUCUCUAAGCUGAUACUGACUUGGAGGAACCCAACCAGGCCCAAACUGUCCCAACGCUUCACAAAACAUCCUGAAACUGUCGUUGUCAAUAGCGUUGAAAGCAAUAUUUGCCUCAUAAAUCCAUCUAGAACAGUAUUGACGGACUGCAUGUGUCCUCUCCUUAGAUAUGGCAUCAUGGAUACUCUGUUGUCGUGUUUGUGCCGCCAAAGAAGCUUCAGGGUUAAUGGAGGUUGCAUACUUAUCAAUAGGACCUUGGAAGUGAGGACUUUUAAGAGUUCCCAACUCUUUUUCCAGUUCCUCAGUAUUGAUGUCCUUGUAUAUGUUCACCUCUGCCCUCAAUGCUUGAUCAUGUUUCCUUUUCAAAUUCUUCUUCUCUUUUGCAUCAAGAAUUGCCUGCUUACACUUCUCUUGAUCCGCUUUAGAUGAAACAGGGCAGGGUGAGACAUUCCCUUUCACAUGAGCAAUGUGUUCUUUCAUCCUGAAAACACCACCAGAGAACUGUUUUCCACACAACUUGCAUUUGACUUUGUCUGAAUUUCUCGGAUCACAUAAGACUCCAAAUUCCCAUCCCACAUCAUUUGAAUUUCGCUUCAGAGAAGGAGGUGCUGCAUCUGUUGGUGGGUUGUUCAUCCUUUUGAACCUUAAAAAAAAUUAAACACAAUAAACUUUAACACUGAGUAGUUUCAGAACUCAACCUUCCCCAAAACUGAUUCUGAGUUUUUGUUUUUGUGUAUACAAGAACUACAGUAAGUAUGAGUUUUCAAUCUUGAGUCAAUUAUAUAUACGAAAAAGAAACAGAAAGACGAUUAUUACCUUGAAUUCACGAACAGAGGAUGGUUGUCAACUAGAUUCAGCUUCACUUCGUCUCCAAGGUGGAGAUCACAUGGGAUACUCUGCGUAUUACUCUGCCCAAACUUCUAAUCCGUUGGUCCUGUGAACAAUACACAUUUACUCAUCUCUCAGUAUGCACCAUCUUUCUAUUUUUAUUUUUAGAAUUUUAUAGUCGUUUUGCUAUUAAAAACCUCUGUUUGAAACUACGCUAAGCGUGAAUCGGACGCUCGGUCCGGGUCUAGCGAGUUACAAAAAAAUCGGGGAGUACGCGGGGUGUACGCAGAGCCUAGUUUUUAACAUAAUUUAAUAUAUUUUUAAUAUGUUUAGAGAACAAAAAUUAUAAUAAAAGUUUUAAUACAUGCUUUUAUAAAUAUUACAAAAGAACAUACGUUUUUCCUCUCGUACACAUCUGAUUCAAGCACCACAAAAAAGAAUUUCAAUUCAUGGGAUAAACAAAAAAAGAGAUUGUCUUGAUCUUGAAAACACAAAAAAUACAACAAAGGAUUGCAGGUCUUCAUCCUUUGUCUUCAGAUCAAGUAAUCACCAUGAAUUGGAAAGAUGUGUUAGGAGUUAUAGAUCUUGUAGCAUACACCUGCAAUAAUAAUAUAAUCAAACGAUGGCAAAUAACAAGACAUACAACAACCAAUACGUAUAAAGAG